rnacentral:hammerhead_ribozyme from 1 species
AUCCAACUGACGAGUCCGAAAUAGGACGAAACGCGCAUCCAAGAU